rnacentral:tRNA from 1 species
GUAGUCGAGACCGAGAAGUUAAGGUUGUGGACUCAAAAUCCAUUGGGGUCUCCCCACCCAGGUUUGAACCCUGCCGACUAUA